UGGGGAAUCUUGCACAAUGGGGGAAACCCUGAUGCAGCGACGCCGCGUGAGCGAUGAAGCCCUUCGGGGUGUAAAGCUCUUUCGGCAGGAACGAUAAUGACGGUACCUGCAGAAGAAGCUGCGGCUAACUACGUGCCAGCAGCCGCGGUAAUACGUAGGCAGCGAGCGUUGUUCGGAGUUACUGGGCGUAAAGAGUGCGUAGGUGGUUCUCUAAGUUCGGUGUGAAAUCUCCCGGCUCAACUGGGAGGGUGCGCCGAAAACUGGAGGGCUGGAGUGCGGGAGAGGAGAGCGGAAUUCCUGGUGUAGCGGUGAAAUGCGUAGAUAUCAGGAGGAACACCUGUGGUGCAGACGGCUCUCUGGACCGCUACUGACACUGAGGCACGAAAGCGUGGGGAGCAAACAGGAUUAGAUACCCUGGUAGUCCACGCCCUAAACGAUGCAUACUUGGUGUGGGUCAUUCAGUUGAUCCGUGCCGGAGCUAACGCGUUAAGUAUGCCGCCUGGGGAGUACGGUCGCAAGGCUGAAAC
rnacentral:rRNA from 1 species